CUCGAUUCCGAGUUCGUAUGAGUGAGAUAUGCCCUUUGAAAGUUGGGCAGUUGACAAGGAAUUCCGUCCGGGAAUCAUUAAGGGCAUUUUAGUCUUUUCCCUAGCCAAUUCUUUUGGGAUUAUAUUGUUGUAUAGGGCUGAUCUUUGGAUCAUUUUGUUCCAUUUUUAAGAGAGUGAAGGCUAGGGCUUUGAGAGUGAAGAAGAGAGGAAGAAGAGAAGAAGGAGAAGAAGAAGGGAAGAAAGAGGAAGAUCAAGCAAGUUCCGUCAAGAUCAUCGUGGAUUUUCGUCGGGGGUGAUCCCUACCAAGG
rnacentral:lncRNA from 1 species